GAUGAACGCUUGCAGUAUGCUUAACACAUGCUAGUCUCAAGUUUUUAUAACUUGGCGUACGGGUGAGUAAUAAUUUUAAGUUUACCUUAAAAAGUAAAAUAAAAUAGUUUACUUUUAAUAAGUAAUUAUAAUAUUUAAGGUUUAACACCGAUUUAAGAUAACUGAAAUACGGUAUUAAGUUGUUGGUAAGGUUAUAGCUUACCAAGCUGAUGAUUCCUAACUGGUUAGAGAUAACGUACCAGUCACAUUAGAACUGAGACAAAGUCCAAGCCUAAGCCAGCAGUGCGGAAUAUUGGACAAUGAGCUUUGCUUGAUCCAGCAAUAUUGCUUAAAUGAGGACAAUGUAAAAGACAUAGAGAGUAAUGAACUGUAUGUCGUUUGUAAAGUUUUAGAUUUAAAAAAUGACAAUGACG
rnacentral:rRNA from 1 species